UACGUAGGGACCGAGCGUUGUCCGGAAUCAUUGGGCGUAAAGAGCGUGUAGGCGGCCACUUAAGUCCUGCGUGAAAUCCUGCGGCUCAACCGCAGGCGGUCGUGGGAAACUGGGUGGCUAGAGUGCGGGAGAGGAGAGUGGAAUUCCUGGUGUAGCGGUGGAAUGCGCAGAUAUCAGGAAGAACACCCGUGGCGAAGGCGGCCCCCUGGACCGGUACUGACGCUGAGGCACGAAGGCCAGGGGAGCAAACGGG
rnacentral:rRNA from 1 species